rnacentral:rRNA from 1 species
UCCUACGGGAGGCAGCAGUGGGGAAUAUUGGACAAUGGGGGCAACCCUGAUCCAGCCAUGCCGCGUGUGUGAAGAAGGCCCUCGGGUUGUAAAGCACUUUCAGCGAGGAAGAACGCCUAGCGGUUAAUACCCGCUAGGAAAGACAUCACUCGCAGAAGAAGCACCGGCUAACUCCGUGCCAGCAGCCGCGGUAAUACGGAGGGUGCAAGCGUUAAUCGGAAUUACUGGGCGUAAAGCGCGCGUAGGUGGCUUGAUAAGCCGGUUGUGAAAGCCCCGGGCUCAACCUGGGAACGGCAUCCGGAACUGUCAAGCUAGAGUGCAGGAGAGGAAGGUAGAAUUCCCGGUGUAGCGGUGAAAUGCGUAGAGAUCGGGAGGAAUACCAGUGGCGAAGGCGGCCUUCUGGACUGACACUGACACUGAGGUGCGAAAGCGUGGGUAGCAAACAGGAUUAGAUACCCUGGUAGUCCACGCCGUAACGAUGUCGACCAGCCGUAGGGUGCCUAGCGCACUUUGUGGCGAAGUUAACGCGAUAAGUCGACCGCCUGGGGAGUACGGCCGCAAGGUUAAAACUCAAAUGAAUUGACGG